ACGAACUGGGAAUUUUAGAGUCAACAAAAUGGGAGUAGACCAAAUGGCAUUUAUGUACUUUCCUAAGAGCAGACCAAAUGGGAGUAGACCAAUCGGGAACCUAGCUGUAGACAAACUGGGAAUUUUAAAGUAGACAAAAUGG